rnacentral:rRNA from 1 species
UACAGAGGGUGCGAGCGUUAAUCGGAAUUACUGGGCGUAAAGCGCACGUAGGUGGCUUUGCAAGUCGAUUGUGAAAUCCCCGGGCUUAACCUGGGAACUGCAGUCGAGACUGCUUUGCUUGAGUAUGGGAGAGGGAGGUGGAAUUUCCGGUGUAGCAGUGAAAUGCGUAGAUAUCGGAAGGAACAUCAGUGGCGAAGGCGACCUCCUGGACCAAUACUGACACUCAAGUGCGAAAGCGUGGGGAGCAAACAGG